rnacentral:rRNA from 1 species
UACGUAGGGGGCAAGCGUUAUCCGGAAUUACUGGGUGUAAAGGGUGAGUAGGCGGCAUGGUAAGCCAGAUGUGUAAGCCUUGGGCUUAACCCGAGGAUUGCAUUUGGAACUAUCAAGCUAGAGUACAGGAGAGGAAAGCGGAAUUCCUAGUGUAGCGGUGAAAUGCGUAGAUAUUAGGAAGAACACCAGUGGCGAAGGCGGCUUUCUGGACUGAAACUGACGCUGAGGCACGAAAGCGUGGGGAGCGAACAGG